GGAUAGCUCAGUCAGUAGAGCACAAGACUCUUAAUCUCAGGGCCAUGGAUUGAAGCCCCAUGUUGGACA